rnacentral:lncRNA from 1 species
GGGUGCAGUGGCCGCUAAGGGCAAAGAAGAAAAAGACAAGUAAAAAAUUCAAAACCCUAGCUUAUAGAUGACACGAUCGUGUUAUUGGCAUGUGUUAGGCCACACAGUCGUGUUUGGAGACCGUGUAAGUACCCUUAGCCCAUGUGUAACACGAAAAUUUGAAAAAAAAAUAAGCCAAGUUUUAACUCGGCUUAGGACACGCC